CACCUCUCAGCAUGACAACUGGAGGGUUCCCAGUACUUUACUAGUCUUGACUAUGGGAGGGAGAGUCAAGCAGAGACAUACCCAUUCCAUUCCUAGCAUGGGCAGCUGUUAGCAAGUGGAAGGCAAUCUGCUACAGGU